rnacentral:rRNA from 1 species
GGAAUAUUGGACAAUGGGCGAAAGCCUGAUCCAGCAAUGCCGCGUGAGUGAUGAAGGCCUUAGGGUUGUAAAGCUCUUUUACCCGGGAUGAUAAUGACAGUACCGGGUGACUAAGCCCCGGCUAACUCCGUGCCAGCAGCCGCGGUAAUACGGAGGGGGCUAGCGUUGUUCGGAAUCACUGGGCGUAAAGCGCACGUAGGCGGCUUUGUAAGAUAGCGGUGAAAGCCCGGAGCUCAACUCCGGAAUUGCCUUUAAGACUGCAUCGCUUGAAUCAUGGAGAGGUGAGUGGAAUUCCGAGUGUAGAGGUGAAAUUCGUAGAUAUUCGGAAGAACACCAGUGGCGAAGGCGACUCACUGGACAUGUAUUGACUCUGAGGUGCGAAAGCGUGGGGAGCAAAC